rnacentral:rRNA from 1 species
UUGAACGCUGGCGGCAUGCUUUACACAUGCCAGUCGAACGGUAACAGGCCGCAAGGUGCUGACGAGUGGCGAACGGGUGAGUAAUGCAUCGGAACGUGCCCAGUCGUGGGGGAUAACUACUCGAAAGAGUAGCUAAUACCGCAUACGAUCUAUGGAUGAACGCGGGGGACCGUAAGGCCUCGCGCGAUUGGAGCGGCCGAUGUCAGAUUAGGUAGUUGGUGGGGUAAAGGCUCACCAAGCCAACGAUCUGUAGCUGGUCUGAGAGGACGACCAGCCACACUGGGACUGAGACACGGCCCAGACUCCUACGGGAGGCAGCAGUGGGGAAUUUUAGACAAUGGGCGCAAGCCUGAUCCAGCAAUGCCGCGUGCAGGAAGAAGGCCUUCGGGUUGUAAACUGCUUUUGUACGGAACGAAACGGCUCUGGUUAAUACCCGGGGCUAAUGACGGUACCGUAAGAAUAAGCACCGGCUAACUACGUG